rnacentral:rRNA from 1 species
UACGGAGGGGGCUAGCGUUGUUCGGAAUUACUGGGCGUAAAGCGCGCGUAGGCGGCUUUGUAAGUUAGAGGUGAAAGCCCGGAGCUCAACUCCGGAAUUGCCUUUAAGACUGCAUCGCUAGAAUCAUGGAGAGGUUAGUGGAAUUCCGAGUGUAGAGGUGAAAUUCGUAGAUAUUCGGAAGAACACCAGUGGCGAAGGCGACUCACUGGACUGGUAUUGACGCUGAGGUGCGAAAGCGUGGGGAGCAAACAGG